rnacentral:rRNA from 1 species
ACUGCACGCUCAUGGCACGAAUAGCGGUGGCGGAGCUAGACACGAUCUAGAUACCUUGGUCAGUCGACGGCUGUCAACACGAUUGAUGAUACUAGACUUUGGUUUGCAUAGCGAAUCAGUGUCGCAGUUAACCGCGUUAAGUUCUCCGCCUGGGGAGUACGGUCGCAAGGUUGAAACUCAGAGGAAUCGUCGGGGGCCCGCACAAGCGGUGGAGCAUGUGGUUUAAUUCGAUGCAACGCGACGAACCUUACCUACCCUUGACAUCAUGUCGCGGACCUGGAGUCAGGUCUUUCAGUUCGGCUGGACACUGACAGGUGCUGCAUGGCUGUCGUCAGCUCGCGUCGUGAGAUGUUGGGUUAAGUCCCGCAACGAGCGCAACCCCUAUCCUUAGUUGCCAGCAUUCAGUUGGGCACUCUAAGGAGACUGCCGGUGACAAACCGGAGGAAGGUGGGGAUGACGUCAAGUCCUCAUGGCCCUUAUGGGUAGGGCUACACACGUGCUACAAUGGCAAGUACAAAGGGCGGCCAACCCGCGAGGGGGAGCUAAUCCCAUAAAGCUUGUCGUAGUCCGGAUCGCAGUCUGCAACUCGACUGCGUGAAGUCGGAAUCGCUAGUAAUCGUGGAUCAGCAUUGCCACGGUGAAUACGUUCCCGGGCCUUGUACACACCGCCCGUCACACCUAUGGUAUAGUUGGCUGCACCUAGUAUAGUAGUUAGUCUAACCCUCGGAGGACGAUACCA